rnacentral:rRNA from 1 species
UACGUAGGUGGCAAGCGUUGUCCGGAUUUACUGGGCGUAAAGAGCGCGCAGGCGGUCGUUCAAGUCGCGUGUGAAAGCCCCCGGCUCAACUGGGGAGGGUCACGCGAUACUGAUCGACUCGAAGGCAGGAGAGGGUAGUGGAAUUCCCGGUGUAGUGGUGAAAUGCGUAGAGAUGUGGAGGAACACCAAUGGCGAAGGCAGCCUUCUGGGCCAACACUGACGCUCAUGCACGAAAGCGUGGGGAGCAAACAGG